rnacentral:rRNA from 1 species
CUCGUCACACUAUCAUUAACUGAAUCCAUAGGUUAAUGAGGCGAACCGGGGGAACUGAAACAUCUAAGUACCCCGAGGAAAAGAAAUCAACCGAGAUUCCCCCAGUAGCGGCGAGCGAACGGGGAGGAGCCCAGAGCCUGAAUCAGCAUGUGUGUUAGUGGAAGCGUCUGGAAAGGCGCGCGAUACAGGGUGACAGCCCCGUACACAAAAGCGCAUGUGCUGUGAGCUCGAUGAGUAGGGCGGGACACGUGGUAUCCUGUCUGAAUAUGGGGGGACCAUCCUCCAAGGCUAAAUACUCCUGACUGACCGAUAGUGAACCAGUACCGUGAGGGAAAGGCGAAAAGAACCCCGGCGAGGGGAGUGAAAAAGAACCUGAAACCGUGUACGUACAAGCAGUGGGAGCACCCUUUGGGUGUGACUGCGUACCUUUUGUAUAAUGGGUCAGCGACUUAUAUUCUGUAGCAAGGUUAACCGAAUAGGGGAGC